GAUCAAGAAUAGAAAGAAGGUCUUGGGGAGAGAUGCUACUUGAAAGAUGCCUAUGCUUUUGCUUCUUUUCUCUGAGAGCGAGCACUUUUUUCAAAACCUAAGUUUUUGAUCUGUUUCUUUGUCUCCUUCUUCUGGCACUCGGCUUUUAAGGUGGCAUUUUGAUCAUAAAGAAGGUCGAGGGAGUAAGGAAAAGGGAUGUAGCUGGAGAACAGCUCGUCUUUCCAUUCUGGACUGAGCCAAAAAGGGACUCGGGGCAGCUUACAUAUGACACAAAGUGCCUAAGACAAAGCAUAAUAUAAGUACUGUAACAUCCCAAGAAGUGAGAGAUUCUGUGUAUGGGGAGAACAAACAGUGGAAGAUAUUGAACAUUUCUUAAUUGACUGCCCAACAUAUGCUGAACUGCGAUACAGAUAUUUACAUCCAAUAUUAUCCAAAUGCAUGUCCCCCAACAGGAAUGAUCUUCUGGCAUUCCACUUGCAAGGACAAAAAAGAUCCACCAUAAUCAGAGUAAGCCUUUUUAUUCUGAAAGCUAUCAAGAAAGAGCACAUUUCCUGAAAGAAGAACCAAGACAAUAAGACUCUGAUUGUAAAUAGAAGGUCAGCUGCUGUCCUCUCCUUUUUGCUUUGUAUUUUAUUCGUGUUGUAUUUUGAAAUGGUCAUAUGACUAGUCAAAUAAAUAAAUAAAUGGUUCUGGCCCAA